rnacentral:rRNA from 1 species
CGAGAUGCCUUAUACAUGCAAGUCGUACGAGAAUUUUUAAUUCAAGUAGCGGACGGGUGAGUAACACGUAAGAAUUUGCCUUUAGGAGGGGGAUAACAACUGGAAACGGUUGCUAAUACCCCAUAUGCUUUCGAGUGAAAUGGAUUUUUCCGCCUAGAGAGAAGCUUGCGGCUGAUUAGCUUGUUGGUGAGGUAAUGGCUUACCAAGGCGACGAUCAGUAUCUGGUUUGAGAGGACGAUCAGACACACUGGAACUGAGACACGGUCCAGACUCCUACGGGAGGCAGCAGUAGGGAAUUUUCCGCAAUGGGCGAAAGCCUGACGGAGCAAUCUCGCGUGAGGGAUGACGGCCUAUGGGUUGUAAACCUCUUUUUUCAGGGAGGAAUAAAAUGACGUGUACCUGAAGAAUAAGCAUCGGCUAACUCCGUGCCAGCAGCCGCGGUAAGACGGAGGAUGCAAGUGUUAUCCGGAAUCACUGGGCGUAAAGCGUCUGUAGGUGGUUUAAUAAGUCAACUGUUAAAUCUUGAAGCUCAACUUCAAAAUCGCAGUCGAAACUAUUAGACUAGAGUAUAGUUAGGGUAAAGGGA